UAAAAACCACAACCUCACUUUUUCCAAGGCACCUCAAAUUUCUUAGAAACAAAAUGAAAAAAAUGGAAUCUACACUAGUGCACGCAUAUGCACAAGGAAAUAAUUAUAUUGCGUUUGUAUUUAUCUUAGGUACAAUUUUAAACACUUUACAAAAUGAGUGUCGGCUGAGGAUUCCGACUUAGGAUGAAACUGGAUAUAUAAAAAUGUUGGAAAACUGGAGGUUUAAAGAUGUUCGCACACGCGUAACUCCGACUGGAUAUAUAUUUAUAAAUGUUGGAAAACUGAGGUUUGGCACACACGCCGUUUAAAGAUGUUCGCACACGCGUAACUCCGACUGGAUAUAUAUUUAUAAAUGUUGGAAAACUGAGGUUUGGCACACACGCCGUUUAAAGAUGUUCGCACACGCGUAACUCCGACUGGAUAUAUAUUUAUAAAUGUUGGAAAACUGAGGUUUGGCAUACACGCCGUUUAAAGAUGUUCGCACACGCGUAACUCCGACUGGAUAUAUAUUUAUAAAUGUUGGAAAACUGAGGUUUGGCACACACGCCGUUUAAAGAUGUUCGCACACGCGUAACUCCGACUGGAUAUAUAUUUAUAAAUGUUGGAAAACUGAGGUUUGGCACACACGCCGUUUAAAGAUGUUCGCACACGCGUAACUCCGACUGGAUAUAUAUUUAUAAAUGUUGGAAAACUG